rnacentral:rRNA from 1 species
AUUGAACGCUGGCGGCAUGCUUUACACAUGCAAGUCGAACGGCAGCGCGGGCUUCGGCCUGGCGGCGAGUGGCGAACGGGUGAGUAAUACAUCGGAACGUGCCCAGUAGUGGGGGAUAGCUCGGCGAAAGCCGGAUUAAUACCGCAUACGACCUGAGGGUGAAAGCGGGGGAUCUUCGGACCUCGCGCUAUUGGAGCGGCCGAUGGCAGAUUAGCUAGUUGGUGGGGUAAAGGCCUACCAAGGCGACGAUCUGUAGCUGGUCUGAGAGGACGACCAGCCACACUGGGACUGAGACACGGCCCAGACUCCUAAGGGAGGCAGCAGUGGGGAAUUUUGGACAAUGGGCGAAAGCCUGAGCCAGCAAUGCCGCGUGUGUGAUGAAGGCCUUCGGGUUGUAAAGCACUUUUGGCGGGAACGAAAAGGACUGUGCCAAUACCACGGUUCGAUGACGGUACCCGCAGAAUAAGCACCGGCUAACUACGUG